UCUGAAAACAACUUCGUCAAAUUCAUAUCACGUAAGCUGCAAAUAUUCACAGCACAAGUAAAUAGGGAAACGAACUGCAAGCUGCAAAGACGACAACGGAAAUGUUUCCAGGGGGGCCAUAAUCAGUGACGGACCCGCAUCCAUCCGGGGUGCAAAAUUACGAAUCCAACUAUGGCCACGGCGAAAUAAUAAUUUAAAUGGACAAACGGAGGUGGUCGCUGAUGAUGGGAAAGCAAAAGACAAGCAGGGAGACAGAGGCCAAAGAGAGAUGUCGAAUAGCUAGAUUAUUUGCCAUUCUGAAAAUAAAUGCAUUAACUUAA